rnacentral:rRNA from 1 species
AUUGAACGCUGGCGGCAUGCUUUACACAUGCAAGUCGAACGGUAACAGGGUGCUUGCACCGCUGACGAGUGGCGAACGGGUGAGUAAUGCGUCGGAACGUGCCGAGUAGUGGGGGAUAACGCAGCGAAAGUUGUGCUAAUACCGCAUACGUACUGAGGUAGAAAGUGGGGGACCUUCGGGCCUCACGCUAUUCGAGCGGCCGACGUCUGAUUAGCUAGUAGGUGAGGUAAAGGCUCACCUAGGCGACGAUCAGUAGCGGGUCUGAGAGGAUGAUCCGCCACACUGGGACGGGGACACGGCCCAGACUCCUACGGGAGGCAGCAGUGGGGAAUUUUGGACAAUGGGCGAAAGACUGAUCCAGCCAUGCCGCGUGUCUGAAGAAGGCCUUCGGGUUGUAAAGGACUUUUGUCAGGGAGGAAAUCCCUAGUGCUAAUAACACUGGGGGAUGACAGUACCUGAAGAAUAAGCACCGGCUAACUACGUGCCAGCAGCCGCCGUAA